AAUAGGAGAAUAACAAAUCAAAUUUUUCCUCUUAAUUUUCAACUUUUUUCCCCUGAAAAAAUUUAAAUCCAACUAAAAAUGAUAAAAAUUACGAGGAAAAAUCUAAUUUAUCAUUUUCCUAUU
rnacentral:pre_miRNA from 1 species